CUGUGUUUUUUACAGAAUGCAAUAACUGAAUGACUCUCAACCAUGCACUCGUGAAACCUCACUGUAACUUCUGCAUAUGAAACUCCAUUGACUCAUACUUUUAUAGUUUUCUCCUUGCUGUGAAGUUGAAAACGGAAGAUUUGUAUUAGAAAGCUGAUGCAGAUCCGGUCCAAUCUAUCGUUCUGAUUUUUCAAACACCUGAGCCUGAAGCGGGGAAGCUUCUUCAUCUGUGUUCUUACACAACCUCUAUCAAGCAUCAGCUGGUCACAUGGGCAAGAUUUUCAAAAGUGGCCACUGAUUAUCUGUUUCCUUUAUAAUACAUGACUUUUCAGGCAGUACUGGCACUGAUUUUCUCAGUUAUAAGAAAGAGGGGCUGGAAGAAAAUUUGCAGUAGGGGACACAUAGAACUGGGACAAUCUGGAGCAAUGAAGAGGAGAGGGAAUGUAUAUAGCAGCUGGGAAAGUGGUGCGAGUGGAGAUGAAUUGGUGUCCAGUGUAAGGUGGUAUAUAGUCCCAGCACUUCUCAGAGCAUCUAACCCAUGCGCCAGCAUUUCUCUGACAAGAUUAAAUAACAAGUAAAGGUUUUCACAGUGAGAAUCCUAACUUUUCAUUUGAUUGGAUUUUAAUAAGGCACAAAUAAAUAUAUCAUAUAAGGAUACGUGAGAAAGUGCAGAGGUCAAAGGAGGAGACAUAAGAAAAGGUAUUCCUAUCCUCUUUCUGCUCCAUCAGGGUUCACAUCUUUACUUUGAUCGUUACCAUGAAAUAUAAAUUUCUUAUGGAGACACUUGCUGAAAUUUUUGUGGAUUGUUCUGGUGGCUCAGGCUGCAAAGAGAAGUGUGAUAUCCUCUGAAGCAGAUAACUGAAUGUGUUCCUGUAGGAGACUUAGAGAACUUAUAGACAACGCCUGAAGCCAGAAGACUUGACACCAGCCUCUGUCCUGGUCAGAUGUAUGUAGGUCAUAUUUUCAUAUGAGAGCUCCCUGCUGGACAGGAGAUCCUUACUCUUGUUAGCGUUCUACCACCUUGAUGAUAUAAGGUGCCCAUCAAAGUCUAUCAGAUCAAACCUCAUUUCAGUAAUCCCUGUUGAUGCGAGAUUAAGAACUUUAAACCAAUGCUGCAAAUUGCUGCAGUCUCACAGCUGCUGUAAACUGUAUCUUAUUUGGGCUGGAUCGAUAGGAUCCAAAGUCUCCUUAUAUUCUGCUCUUUCUUUCACCAAGAAAUAUGCUUGUUAUUAUUCUUCUGUCUUAAGCAAAGAUAUCAUGGCGCAGAGAAAUAGGGCAUCAUUAUUCUUCCCAC
rnacentral:lncRNA from 7 species